UUGAAUACUCGCAGCACAUUUCCUUCAACAGUAUUUUGCAAGAUGUUUAAAGUUAUGUUUCUCCCCGUCCUGAUCCUAGUCUUCAUAUUGCCUGUGACAAGUGUUCAAGUGUCCACUGCUCUCAAAUUCGGAGAUGAUGGCUACAGUAUAAUCUCCUUUCAACCCAACAUGUUACCUCUUACUGACAAGUUUACUGUUUGUCUUUGGUUUAAGGCGCUCCGAGGGAGUACGAGUGCAGUGAUAUAUGCCUACGAACAAGGUGAAAUGUAUUUGUAUGACAACAAAGGUGACAACAAUCUGUUUGGAGCACAUUUUUCCCUCCCCAGUGAGUUCAUAACUCCAAUGCGAGUAUGGACCCACCAUUGUGGAACAUGGAGUGUUGCUUCAAGGACGUACCGAGCGUACAUUAACGGUAAACUAGCUGGUUUCAAGAUCACAGCCUCUGGAAGAAGAUUGAAAACAGGUGGAACUCUGGUGUUGGGAGAUUAUAGAGAUCCCGCAGUUCAUGGCAGAACUGGUAACCAAUUUGGAGGAGAGAUGUACAAUCUCAACUUCUUCUCCAAAGAGUUAACUGGUAGUGAAGUAGGAGCAAUGUCAGCAGAUGGGCUCUGUACAAAGAUCCCUGAGGAGCUGGAGCAAUACCGGGCAAUCAGAUGGGAGGAUAUGUUGAGCCUUCCUAGACGUGGAAACGUGCAAGAUAUCGGCAGUGGAUGCAGUGAAAGUGCUUAUGUGAGCUAAUCCCGAGAAGAUUUAAUGUUUAUUGUAGUUUGAUAGAAUAUUCUUACUUCACAUAGGUAGGUGUUAUACUGUUACCAACUACAAAUUCCUGGUGUUUGAAGUUUCAUUUCAUAUAUUCACUACUUCAGGAUUUUAUCGGCGAAAAAGAAACUCUUCGGUUGAGUCUGAACAACACACAAGCAGAACUGCAAAAGUUACAGAGACUGUUCAAUUCUACCCAGGAGGAGUUACGGACGGUGAAGAGAAAUCUUCUAUCUACGACAGAGGAACUCAACAGCACUAGGAUUGAACUUGAAGAGACAUCCUUUGAAUUGAAUGAAACGAGGACCAAGCUAGAUAAUUCAACUCUAAAAGAAGCAGGAUGUACUGAUUUUAUCGGUGAAAAAGAAAGCCAGGAGGAGUCACGGACAAGAUGUGCGCUGCAAAGAGGAUCUCUGACGAAAUGGGACUUUUAUACUCCUGUCAUUACUACAACGAGAUUUUCAAUUUCGAGCAAUAUAUAAAGCUACUGACAUGGGUGUCCUCAACUCGCAGAAUAAUGGGAGUGAAGAUUACUGACAAUCUCAUCGAAUUCUUCAAAGAUAUAGACGAGGAAAACAGCUGUGAUGAAGUUUGACCUCGCUCCCGGAAUAGAUUGUGAUACGUCACACUUUGUAUUAAAUAUAAAGUAAACAUGAUCUAACUAAACCAAAAGCCUUAAGCUUGUUAAUUCAACAAUCUCUCCCCACAUUUAUUCUGAUAAGUAUACCUGCAGUACAGCAUGGUUUAUAAGUUAAAACUGUGUAUUUCACUGUCGGAUCCACUGUCUGGGUAUGUAAUUAAGAAUAGCUCAUGUCGCUGAUGCGAGUACAAGUUUUAAGAGUAAAUUUAAUGAAUUUAAUAACAUUUUGUUGACAUGUAAAUUCUCAUGUUUUUAACUGCUUUUACUUGCAACGUCCUUAUCGUCUUCAUCAGACAAUACUCAUCUCAAAUCUGUCGGUAACAAAAACUCCCUCCAUCCUGAAAUAUUGCUACUGACAGGAGCAUGCAGUACAUCUUAGCUUGGUGCAAGUUAAUCCUGAAUCUAUGUAUAUCGGGUUGCUGAAUAUAUUUAUUGCCGAAUGUAACCUAUGUGCUGAUUGUUCAAUUUGUUCGAAUUGUCCUGAUGCCUGACUAUUUAAUUAUUUAAAGAUCGUUUGUAACGAAGUUUAUUGUUAAUUUCAAUUUUCAAUCCUGCACGAUUUCAAAAUUGCUGAUAGCAAAUCCAAUUGGACCUGACUUGGCUUAACAGCUCAUUAUACAUGAAUAAAGAUAGAAUUCAUAAAUCAUAAUAUUGAAUUCCUGGUAAUGUGAUGAAGCAUACAAAUAUUACGCAUAAUAUGUAAUAUUAUCCCAGACUCCUGAUGAAUGAAGCCACCCAGAUAACUAAAUUUAGACAUGAUCUGACCGAAACCAAUGCUAAACCUCUCGCUAGUAAUCUUAUCAGCUCUUCUACAAAAUAAAAAUGGGCACAAAUUAAUUUCUUUCAACGCACUUCACUCAACGCUUGAUGAUAACGGGUAUUGAAUACUCGCAGCCGGCAGCACAUUUCCUUUAAGGGGGCAGGCUAGGGGGUUCUUUAUAAAAUUCCUCUCGAAAUUGAUUUCAAUAGUUGUUUCUGAUAGAGGGGAGUAAUAUCUAUCAGCUGCUUUUGGUCCCAUGGAAAAAUAUUGUUCCUAGCCGAAGUUAUCGCCGGUCAAAGGUCAGCGCUCAUGCGUAUUGCGUAAUUGUAUUGUGCGAGCGAUUUUCGAUCGUGUGCCCGACAAUCGAGUCUAACAAUCUAUCUUCUCCUACAUGUUUUAAGCAAUCACCUUGAAACUUUCAGGAUAUGUUCUAAGGACCAUUUAGGAGAUUCUUUUCUAAUAGAAUUUUAAGAUAAGCCUUAGAAAAUGUUUUAUUCGAUUUUUAAAAUCUUGGGCCUCGUUUUUUGACGAUUUUCCAGGAUGAUUCUUAUGUUUCUCCCUGCCCUGGCCCCUGAUCCUAGUCUUCAUAUCGCCUGUGACAAGUGUUCAAGUGUCCACUGCUCUCAAAUUCGGAGAUGAUGGAAACAGUCUAAUCUCCUUACAACCCAACAUGUCACCUCUUACUGACAAGUUUACUGUUUGUCUUUGGUUUAAGAAGCUCCGAUCUGCAGGGAGUCCAAUGCCAUAUGCCUACGAACAAGAAGAAAUGUUUUUGUUUGACUACAGCCUUGACAACCACUAUUGUGGAACAUGGAGUCUUGCUUCAAGGACGUACCGAACGUACAUUAACGGUAAACUAGCUGGUUUCAAGAUCACAGACUCUGGAAGAAGAUUGAAAACAGGUGGAACUCUGGUGUUGGGAGAUUAUAGAGAUACCGCAGUUCAUGGAAAAUCUGGUCACCACUUUGGAGGAGAAAUGUAUAAUCCCAACGUCUUCUCCAAAGAGUUAACUGGUAGUGAAGAAGGAGCAAUGUCCGCAGAUGGGCUCUGUACAAAGAUCCCUGAGGAGCUGGAGCAAUACAGGGUAAUCAGAUGGGAGGAUCUGUUGAGACUUCCUAGACGUGGAAACGUUCAAGAUAUCGACAGUGGAUGCAGUGAUUUUAUCGGUGAAAAAGAACCUCGUUG